CCUACGGGAGGCAGCAGUAGGGAAUCUUUCACAAUGGGCGAAAGCCUGAUGGAGCAACGCCGCGUGCAGGAUGAAGGCCUUCGGGUUGUAAACUGCUUUUAUCAGCGAGAAAUAUGAUGGUAACUUAUGAAUAAGGAUCGGCUAACUACGUGCCAGCAGCCGCGGUCAUACGUAGGAUCCGAGCAUUAUCCGGAGUGACUGGGUGUAAAGAGUUGCGUAGGUGGCAUAAUAAGUAGCUAGUGAAAUCUGGUGGCUCAACCAUUCAGACUAUUAGCUAAACUGUUAAGCUCGAGACCGUUAGGGGUAACUGGAAUUUCUAGUGUAGGAGUGAAAUCCGUAGAUAUUAGAAGGAACACCAAUAGCGUAGGCAGGUUGCUGGGACGGUUCUGACACUAAGGCACGAAAGCGUAGGGAGCAAACGGGAUUAGAUACCCCAGUAGUC
rnacentral:rRNA from 1 species